rnacentral:lncRNA from 1 species
AUUUAUCAUCUGGCCAAAAUGCCCUUGCCUGUGGUUAAAUUACAACUGGGAGACAUCUGAGCAAAAGACAUUAUUUAGGAGACGUUUGGAACAGAUCAGGAGAGUCACCAUCAGGAUUCAGGAAGUGGGAGCAAAAGAUUUAAAUUGAACAUCAGCAAUGAAGAAAAGCUUAAAUUCAGACCAGGAACAAAUGUAUAUAGGCCUGAAUGUGCUGUAAUCCUUGGAGAACAAUGGAAAUUAUCCUGGAUUUUAAAAAGUAUAUGAAUGAACAAUGAUCAAGAAGGGGAAAAAAAAUUGGACCUAGUUGGAAAUCUCAGGUAUU